rnacentral:lncRNA from 1 species
GCAGAAUUUAACUGUGUCCACAGAGUUCUUCGGCUGACUGCUGAGCAAGAUUGAAUACCCCGCACACACAACAAUAUUUCAUCCUCCUCCAUGUGUUCAUACAUCAUAUCUUCUAGAAUGCAUAAGUUGGUUCCAAAAUAUACUAGAAUUAAACUUAGGUGUGUACAGGCGAUGAAGGACAAAACCGGGGCCAAUAAUCUAUUGUAUACAGCAGGUUAAGACAAGCGGUGAAAUCAAAUGCAUCAGAUGAUCAGAUUGCACUGUGAGCUGAAGCUACAACAAUGAGCACCAAAAGUGAAAAUCGCCAAAAAAAAAUGUACAAAGGAGGUCAAAGGAAAUACGGGACCGCACUUCUCGGCCCUCGCAUCUGGUUGUUCUCAUCCGUCUCUGUGAAGAUCUUGACAUCUCUUUCCUGCCAACGGAAUUAAAAGGGUCGAUUAAAAUGAUCAAAUACAAAAGGUGGCAUAGUCAGUCCCCACUAAAGAUGACAUAACAAAUCUCCUUUUUUAAGAUAAUAACUGAAAAACAUGGUAUGCAUAAAACACAGGAGUAUCAGGUACUGCGACAUUAGGGAAUUGAAUGGAGAUUGUUGUAAUUAUUAUGAUCUUUACUUCUAUUUAUCAGGGAAAGAUACAAGGCACCAGUUCAUUUGUUACCAAACAAGCCACAUUCGCCUGUUUAUUGGUAAGUCUACAGCUUGGAAGCUGGGAUGAUAUGUUCCUUCUCAGAACCUCAGGUCAUAUUAACUUGCUUAAUCUGGACUAACUUCUUUUCAAGACUCUUAUUACUGUUAGUUUGUUAACAUCAAUAGUGCACAGAAAUACAGGAGCGACUUCAUCAAUCAUAACAGGAACUGUUGCAACUUGUGCUGCAAUGCUACUACUAUGUAACAAGGAUCAAAACAGCCUGAAAAUCAAAUCGCAGCUUCUGUUCUCUAUCUGGAUAUGCCAUCAGGAGCUCCGGAGUUCAUACACAAAACAGUGAAAUUAUCAUUAUAUACCUCACCGAUAGACUCAAGAAGGUUUCCAAUGGAACCUAUCAAAGCCCGAGUAGGAACGAUUUCUUGAAAGUUUUGAAGCCAAUAAAGCAUGUCUAGCAAAUUAUCGCAGGCGAAGACAGCAGUAGACAUAAAGUACAUAAAACACAAAUGAAGAACUAAGUCUGGUAGUGAUGGAGUGACCUACCAUAGUUUCGCUGAAGCUUAGUAUAGAAGCAACAUUCCCACAUCUGUAACAAUAAUUAGGUGCAGACCACACCUGGAAAAAAAUACACAAAUAAACAGUGAGCAUCUGGAACUACAUGCAAGUUCUCGGACAAUUUGACAUGUGUAAAUGGAGAGCUUACAGUUACAAGACCCUUGUCUGGGAACAUGUACUUUAGGCCUUCCUGGACUAGUUGAUGAGCCCGACAAACUAACUCAAGAUUGUUAACAUGGUUAAACUGCAUCAGAACAACAAGCGUCAGUAAAAAUCUUACAUGGAGACAACCUGAAACGAAAAGAGCAAUAUGCCAUACCUCGGUUGUCACCCGUGAUCCAAAAAGCCAACCUGCUCCACGGGGACUAACACCCCAUGUCUCUAUCUCUUCUGGGUCACUCCACAUUAGAUCACAAAAAGGUCCUUCAUGAGGAAUUUCGCAGUUGCGAUCAAUUGUCCGCAUCUGGACACAACAAAGAUAUUCAAAACUACUAAUCAGAUUUGCACAUUUGGUUUGGUAUUUCACUGGGCACUGACUUAAACGAUCCAGUCUCAUAUAACAGGAAAAGCAAAAUCAUAUACAGGUAGUGAUUCUCCGUGAGUACUGAGUAGUUCCAUGAAACUACCGCUUUACAUAUAUGUACAGUUGGAAAGUAUAUUUUUCUCACCGAAAGGAAAUGUGUAUAACAAAGAUGACUCUAAGUCUCUAACAGAAGACGAUCCACAUGAAUACAACAGUACACUUCUUUUGUGGCUCAUUUGGGGCUGUGGAAAUAAGCUGCCCCCUACCCAGCUAAUUCUAGAAGCCCAAUCUAAAAUUUUAUUUUAAAAGCCUACUAAUUAAGGGUUAACUACUAGGCUUCUAAAAUAAAAUUUUAGGUUGAGCUUCUAGAAUAAGCUGGGUAGGUGGUAGCUUAUUUCCACAGUACCAAAUAAGCUACAAAAGAACUGGCCCUAAGACUCUAAGAGACACAUUUUCUGAUCGUACUACUGAUUAAUAGUCUGUUUAGUACACCCUUCAAACAAACAAAGGAAGCUACUCAAAGGGGCAUUAUAUGAUUGAACAAAUUGAAUAAACAAAGAACAAUAAUUAAUUUUACACAGGAAAAUGUGGAUAACUAUAUCUUGAUUUCACCAGGACAGUGUAAAUGAAAGCAUCAAUUCGGGAAUAUGAGCCAAAAGUGAACAGAAUAACUAACCUGAUCAACUGUGCGUACAUCAGGUGAAAGCCCACCAUGAACACAGAGGAC